rnacentral:SRP_RNA from 1 species
GCCGGGCGUGGUGGCGCAUGCCUGUAAUCCCAGCUCCUCGGAAGGCUGAGGCAGGAGAAUUGCUUGAGCCCAGGGAGCGAAGGUUGCAGUGAGCAGAGAUCAUGCCACUGCACUCAAACCUGGGCAACAGGGUGAGACUCUGUCUCAA